AGAACUUAGCAGAGAUGCUUUGGUGCCUUCGGGAACUCUGAGACAGGUGCUGCAUGGCUGUCGUCAGCUCGUGUUGUGAAAUGUUGGGUUAAGUCCCGCAACGAGCGCAACCCUUUAUCCUUUGUUGCCAGCGGUUAGGCCGGGAACUCAAAGGAGACUGCCAGUGAUAAACUGGAGGAAGGUGGGGAUGACGUCAAGUCAUCAUGGCCCUUACGAGUAGGGCUACACACGUGCUACAAUGGCGCAUACAAAGAGAAGCGACCUCGCGAGAGCAAGCGGACCUCAUAAAGUGCGUCGUAGUCCGGAUCGGAGUCUGCAACUCGACUCCAUGAAGUCGGAAUCGCUAGUAAUCGUGGAUCAGAAUGCCACGGUGAAUACGUUCCCGGGCCUUGUACACACCGCCCGUCACACCAUGGGAGUGGGUUGCAAAAGAAGUAGGUAGCUUAACCUUCGGGAGGGCGCUUACCACUUUGUGAUUCAUGACUGGGGUGAAGUCGUAACAAGGUAGGCGUAGUGCU
rnacentral:rRNA from 1 species